rnacentral:lncRNA from 1 species
ACACACACACACACAGGCUCACGACAGCAUUGUGACAUCAUAAUGUACCAGUUUACAUCAUAGCAUACCUCUUAGCCAAUAGCGGUGGCAGAUUUAAAUUAGAAUACAGUGCAGAGUUUUUACCUGACAACGGCACAACACUGCCAGUUUUAGGCAGAAUAUUUAAAAUUUAACUAAGAUGCACUGAAGUGCCAAAUUAUUGACUACACGUGUCUGCAGCAUGAUUAGACACUCGCUUAUUUAGUUUAUCAGCAAAAAAACAUUUAUUUGGGGGUGACUUGCUCUUUAACUAAAUCACUGAUCAUCCUUUCUCUGUUGCCAGAGCAACGCUCUGUCCUUUUCCCAUCUAAUCACAGUCCUAUCGCGAGACUACGCCAUCUCUACAAGUCUGAGCUGGUUAGGUAUCGCGGGAAUACAACAGGAGGCAAGGCAGUGACGUAAUCGCCGUCGCGAGCUCGCGAGGCGGAGCGAACCGCUGCAACUUUGGUUGAACUUCUGAUUUGAACGAAGCUGGAGGCGGUACCCGGAUCCCACGGACAGCUGUAGCUCCCCGGAGGCUUUUUCGCUCUUCGGGUGACUUGAUUUCUGUCACGGUUUGCGUUUGUCCGCGACUGACCGGCGAGAGCGUUAUUUUCCUUCUUCUGGAGACCGACACGGAGGGAGUUAUUAAAGGGUUUCCGUGCAGCUGUUCUAGGAGUUGGCAUCCAGUUUUCCACACGGAGAUCUCUUCACACAGGAAUCCAAUGCAGAUGGCUUUUUAGAGACUUCAGCAGUGAAAAUCUGCAACAGCAUCUUUAGUUUCAAGCUGUAGCUCUUCAGAGGUAAACUGUCGUAUUAAUGUUUUAGUUUAUAAAGUUUUUGUUGGUCACUGUUGGUCAUUUUAAAUGUGCUUUAUAAAGUUUAGUAACGUUUUUCUAAGCUAGCCUGAGUUUAGUGUUUUUUUACGAAUCCGUCUACGUUGAUGUAUAACUGAAAGUAGGGGUAAUGGUACUGAAUUUUUUUUUAAAAGUUCUACUUAGAAACUGCAUCUUUGUUACGUUUCUUUUUCUGCAGCUCCAGAUGUGAACGUCUCUCAUCACUUCCCUCCGUGGGCAUCAUGAUGUCUCAAAUCUAAAACCGUCAGCAUCCUAUCUUUACCUUUUCCUCCCACCUCCCCUCCCCA